GAUAUCUAAUGGCAAAAAUUUUACGCCAAAUGGGGGAACAUUUAGGAGGUGGCUGGUACGAAACCCAUGCUUGAGGAAAGCAAUAUUUAGUUGAAACCAAUUGAGUCCAUAGGGAAUGAGGCUGGAUGCAAACUUUCCCAAAAGCAAGUAUUGAUAUUGGUGAAGAGAAUGCAAACCAAGCCCACCAAUAUUUUUGGGAUUACAAAUAGUCACCAAAGAUAUCAAAUGUAAUUGAUGUUGAGUAGAAUAACGACCCC
rnacentral:lncRNA from 1 species